UACGGGGGGGGCAAGCGUUGUUCGGAAUUACUGGGCGGUAAAGGGCUCGUGAGGUGGCCAACUAAGUCGGACGUGAAAUCCCUCGGCUUAACCGGGGAACUGCGUCUGAUACUGGAUGGCUUGAGUUCGGGAGAGGGAUGCGGAAUUCCAGGUGUAGCGGUGAAAUGCGCAGAUAUCAGGAAGAACACCCGUGGCUAAGGCGGCUCUCUAGUACGGUACUGACGCUGAGACGCGAAAGCGUGGGGAGCGAACAGG
rnacentral:rRNA from 1 species